GUGGCAUCGGAGACAUCCGAUAAGAUUGGAAAGAUAUUGAGAAAAUUAGAAUACCCCUAUGCAAGGAUGAUACUCCUAAAUGGAGUAAAAAAUGGGAGACCUUU